rnacentral:lncRNA from 1 species
GGUUGUCCAAAUUCCUCAGGCCCACCUAGUAUCAUUCAUCUUCUUCAUCUUCUUUCUAUCUCUACUUCUCUCAUCUCCAUUAAACCCUACCAGCCAUGAAAGCGAGCUCAAACCUCACCCAAAAUCCGACCAUACCACCCUUACCCCUCUCUACAUUCUAAUCAUUCACAUUUAUUCAAAACCUUCACCCCAGUUGGACUCGGCCCUCAUCCAAAAUCGAAGAAGAAAUUCUUUUCGAAGUCUCCAGGUUUUAGGAACAAUUCGAUUCAAAAUCGAUAUCGUUUGAUUGUUCUUAAGAAGAACAACCGAUCAAUAUCAAUUUCGGGUCGAAUCGAAGACGUCGGAGUUCAUUCAAUUAAGACAUUUGCCUUCUUUUAGGUAUUUCAUUUCGUCUCUGUUCGUCGACAUGUUUCCGUUUCUGUUUAUUUCGUCGCUUCGUUCUUCUCUGUUUCUUCGUCAUCUUCCAUCACUGCCCAUCUUCCCAUCUUUUGUUCUUGUUUGUUUUGUUCUUGCUUGGUUCUUCUAGCUAAAAUAUCAUAAGGUCAAGUCGAUUAAUAUAAUAAUUAGUAUCGAUUCAGGAGUCAUCUAGUUUUGUGAUUAAUUCAAUUUUUUUAGUGUGUUCUGUCUGGUUUGAUUUUUGUUAAUUCUGUUAUACUCUUGAUUUUCUUUGUGUUUGGUUUCAAUUCAAUAACUCGUAAUUAGUGUUUGAGGUUUAGGAUUUCGAUUAGUUUUAGUCGGAUUAAAAACAUUUCUGCCUGUUUGGAUUUGUGGAGUUAUGCCAAUGAUGUGAAUCUAAGUUUCUAUUUGAUUUUCUGUUACGGAUAAUAGAUAAUGACAAUUAGUAAUCUGGAAAUUAGUAAUUAGUUAGAUUUAAUGUAAGAUUUGUUUACUGGUUAGUUUCACCACAGUUAGUUAAUUGAUUGGAUCAGUUUACAUAGUUAGUAGUUUUAGGGUAAUUUUAGGGUCUUUAAAGGUUAAUCUAGGGAAUUCAAUUCAGAGAAUCUUUGUCUAACUGAAAGAAGAAGCUUCUUGCAAGGGCUACCAGCCAAUUUCAGGCUUUUAAGUGGUUAAUCUUGGGAAUCAAGUCAGUAGUUGGAGGAUUAAGUAGCAAAAAGGGAAGUGUAAUGGGGGCUAACUUGAAAUAAUUGAACCCUCAAGAGGCUGCCCUCACUCUUGCCUAUAAAAGGCAUGCAUCAUGCCUUGAACAAUAAGUUUGGCAUCCUAAAAAUUUCCCAAAAAAAAUAUAUUUUCCAAGCUUCCAGAUCUAAUAAUUUCAGAUAUGUAAUUUCCUUAGAUCUUAACUCCUUCAAGCAGAAAAACCAAAAAAAGAACAAUAGAAAACCAUUAAAAAACUAUAAAAAAAAACAGAUAAGAAAGUAUUGGUUCCAUUGGAAACCUACAAUCAGUCUGGAAUUUCAAUUUGAAUCACAUCAUUUGGACUAUAGCUUGAUGUUGAUACACUUUAUGGUGUUUGGAUAUGCUUUCAGGUGGAUUUAAGUCCAAUUGAGUUUAAGCAACCCCCACUUCCAACCGAGAGGUUGUGAGUUCGAGUCUCCCAAAAGCAAGGUGGGAAGUUCUUGGAGGAAAGGAUGUCGUGGGUCUAUUUGGAAAC